rnacentral:rRNA from 1 species
AUUGAACGCUGGCGGCCGGCUUAAUACAUGCAAGUCGAACGAGUGGCGGACGGGUGAUUAAUGUCUGGGACACUGCCUGAUGGAGGGGGAUAACUACUGGAAACGGUAGCUACUACCGCAUACCCUCGGAUGUGCCCAGAUGGGAUUCGCUAGUAGGUGGGGUAAUGGCUCACCUAGGCGACGAUCCCUAGCUGGUCUGAGAGGAUGACCAGCCACACUGGAACGGAGACACGGUCCAGACUCGUACGGGAGGCAGCAGUGGGGAAUAUUGCACAAUGGGCGCAAGCCUGAUGCAGACAUGCCGCGUGUGUGAAGAAGGCCUUCGGGUUGUAAAGUACUUUCAGCGGGGAGGCGUUACCCGCAGAAGAAGCACCGGCUAACGCCGUGCCAGCAGCCGCGGUAAUUC